GACGAACGCUGGCGGCGUGCUUAACUCAUGCAAGUCGAACGGAAAGGCCCUGCUUUUGUGGGGUGCUCGAGUGGCGAACGGGUGAGUAACACGUGAGUAACCUGCCCUUGACUUUGGGAUAACUUCAGGAAACUGGGGCUAAUACCGGAUAGGAGCUCCUGCUGCAUGGUGGGGGUUGGAAAGUUUCGGCGGUUGGGGAUGGACUCGCGGCUUAUCAGCUUGUUGGUGGGGUAGUGGCUUACCAAGGCUUUGACGGGUAGCCGGCCUGAGAGGGUGACCGGCGACAUUGGGCCUGAGAUACGGCCCAGACUCCUACGGGAGGCAGCAGUGGGGAAUAUUGCACAAUGGGCGGAAGCCUGAUGCAGCAACGCCGCGUGCGGGAUGACGGCCUUCGGGUUGUAAACCGCUUUCGCCUGUGACGAAGCGUGAGUGACGGUAAUGGGUAAAGAAGCACCGGCUAACUACGUG
rnacentral:rRNA from 1 species